rnacentral:rRNA from 2 species
UACGUAGGGAGCAAGCGUUGUCCGGAAUCAUUGGGCGUAAAGCGCGCGUAGGUGGCCAUUUAAGUCCGCUGUGAAAGUCAAAGGCUCAACCUUUGAAAGCCGGUGGAUACUGGGUGGCUAGAGUACGGAAGAGGCGAGUGGAAUUCCUGGUGUAGCGGUGGAAUGCGCAGAUAUCAGGAGGAACACCAAUAGCGAAGGCAGCUCGCUGGGACGUUACUGACACUGAGGCGCGAAAGCGUGGGGAGCGAACAGG